rnacentral:rRNA from 1 species
AGUGAACGCUGGCGGUAGGCCUAACACAUGCCAGUCGAACGGCAGCACAGUAAGAGCUUGCUCUUACGGGUGGCGAGUGGCGGACGGGUGAGGAAUACAUCGGAAUCUACUUUUUCGUGGGGGAUAACGUAGGGAAACUUACGCUAAUACCGCAUACGACCUACGGGUGAAAGCAGGGGAUCUUCGGACCUUGCGCGAUUGAAUGAGCCGAUGUCGGAUUAGGUAGUUGGCGGGGUAAAGGCCCACCAAGGCGACGAUCCGUAGCUGGUCUGAGAGGAUGAUCAGCCACACUGGAACUGAGACACGGUCCAGACUCCUACGGGAGGCAGCAGUGGGGAAUAUUGGACAAUGGGCGCAAGCCUGAUCCAGCCAUACCGCGUGGGUGAAGAAGGCCUUCGGGUUGUAAAGCCCUUUUGUUGGGAAAGAAAAGGAGCAGGUUAAUACCCCGCUGUUCUGACGGUACCCAAAGAAUAAGCACCGGCUAACUUCGUG